AGGAUGAACGCUGGCGGUCUGCUUAACACAUGCAAGUCGAACGGAGUAGAAAUACUUAGUGGCGGACGGGUGAGUAACGCAUGAGAAUCUACCUUCAGGACGGAGACAACAGUUGGAAGCGACUGCUAACCCCCGAUGUACUGAAAAGGCAAAUAUUUAUAGCCUGAAGAAGAGCUCGCGUCCGAUUAGCUAGUUGGAGAGGUAAAAGCUCACCAAGGCGACGAUCGGUAGCUGGUCUGAGAGGACGAUCAGCCACACUGGGACUGAGACACGGCCCAGACUCCUACGGGAGGCAGCAGUGGGGAAUUUUCCGCAAUGGGCGAAAGCCUGACGGAGCAAGACCGCGUGGGGGAAGAAGGCUCUUGGGUUGUAAACCCCCUUUUCUCUGGGAAGAACGCAAUGACGGUACCAGAGGAAUCAGCAUCGGCUAACUCCGUGCCAGCAGCCGC
rnacentral:rRNA from 1 species